GACGAACGCUGGCGGCGUGCUUAACACAUGCAAGUCGAACGGAAAGGCCCUGCUUUUGUGGGGUGCUCGAGUGGCGAACGGGUGAGUAACACGUGAGUAACCUGCCCUUGACUUUGGGAUAACUUCAGGAAACUGGGGCUAAUACCGGAUAGGAGCUCCUGCUGCAUGGUGGGGGUUGGAAAGUUUCGGCGGUUGGGGAUGGACUCGCGGCUUAUCAGCUUGUUGGUGGGGUAGUGGCUUACCAAGGCUUUGACGGGUAGCCGGCCUGAGAGGGUGACCGGGCAAAUUGGGAAUGAGAUAAGGCCCCGAACCCUAAGGGAGGGAGGAGUGGGGAAUAUUGCAACAUGGGCGGAAGCCUGAUGGAGACAAGCCGGGUGGGGGAUGAAGGCCUUUGGGUUGUAAAACGGCUUUGGCUGUGACGAAGGGUGAGUGACGGUAAUGGGUAAAGAAGGACCGGCUAAAUAAGUG
rnacentral:rRNA from 1 species